rnacentral:lncRNA from 1 species
CAGAGUCUUAUUCUUUAUGUAUUAAUCAACUAGUUCUACUGAAUUUCAUUCAUGGAAGAUUGCUAUACACAAGAGAGAUAGAAGAACGAUUGGUCUUCUGAUUGUUGAUGAUAGGGAUACCAUUGUUGUGGAGGCAUGUAUUAGAGGUAACGAAUAUCUUGGGUGAAGGUUUGUCCAUUUAUAAACACCUUUUAAUUUUGGUCAAGCAAUCUCAUGUUAUCUCUUCUUAUUAGUUAUCCAUUUUUUUAAUCCUUCUCUUAUGUUAACGGAGUUAGUGGCUAUAUAGUAAAGAGUUGCAUAUUAGAUGUUCGAUAAAAUGUCCAAAAAAUCUUUAAAUACCAGCAACAUGUGCAUGUUACAUGUUUCUCUGGUCUGAGUAAAUUUUUUAGUCAUUGUUCUUUUUUUAACACCCUAAACAUAAUAGAGUUGAGGACUAUAUGGUAAAGAGUUGCAUAUUACAUGUUCAAUGAAAUUUUUAAGAAACUUUAACUACCAAUGUAUUUUAACUCCUUUGAUUGCUAUAUAUCCAUGUCAAAAGGUGAUGUCAUAGAAAUUUAUAAAUGGUUUGAAGUUUGCUAGAGAAUAAACUGAUAAAUGUUUUCAAUGCCAAGAACAGCCUUGCAAAGAGCACUGGAAUUUUGGUUUCAACCUCAAAGAAAAUAGACCAAGAGAAGAAGGAUGUAAUAGUUAAAGAUUGUAGAACAUUUGAGGUUAUAAAACAAGAGAACAAACUUCGUUAGAUUUCUGACUUGGGAAUCUACUAAAAUGGAUGCUCAGGGAUGAUAGCAUCAAUUCAUGAUGAAGUAGCAGCAAGUAGUACUUUAAGGAUUUUUAUUCCUUUUCCUUUGUAAAUUUUAAUCACAACAAAAGUGUUCUUCUACUGUAAUAUGGUUGAAUUUGGGUUAGAAAUUCUUUGUUGUGUAUAGGACAGUGUAACAUUGAUAAAGC